ensembl:lncRNA
UCCUUCUCUAACCAAACAGAAUAAAUACCUAGAUAUAAUACAGUGAAACUGCAGAUAAGAAUAAAGGGAGUAACUUAUUACCCUUCCCACAAAAAAGAAUAAAAGGGAAACAUGGGAACUCACUGGCGGUCCUGUGUUAGGAUCUGCAUGUCCACUGUGGGCGACUCCCACUGUGGGUUCCCUCCCUGGUUGGGCAACUUAAGACCCUGCAAGCCACGUGGUGCAGCCAAAAGGACAAAGGGAAGAUAUUAAAAGCCACAAGGUGGGGGGACUACCGGAGAAAUAAAAGAAUUCAAAGAGAUGACAGUUAGACACACAGACAACAUUUCACCAACAGUAAAUGCCAGAGGUGGCAGAAGACUGUCUUAAGGAAGCUAGAAUCCUAUAUUCAGCUCAUUCGAGAGCGAGGUGAAAUAAAGAUAUUUCUGGACCUGCUGAGACAGUUUUUAAGAAUUUAUUUUUUAAUUGAAGGAUAAUUGCUUUACAGAAUUUUGUCGUUUUCUGUCAAACCUCAACAUGAAUCAGCCAUAGGUGUACGUAUAUCCCCUCCCUUUUGAACCUCCCUCCCACCUCCCUCCGCAGCUAAGACAGUUUUAUCAGUUGUAGAUCGUGACCAGAAGAACUACCAAAGGUAUACUUUGGUAAGAAGAAAACUCGAGGAAGGAGAAGAUCGCUAGCACUAACACUGAGUGCAGAAAUUGACAGAGUAUGUUGAUAAAUUUAACUAUGGAAUGUAUAUUGAGAUAAUUCAGUCACCCACAGUGACUCCAGAAAAUAUUGACUAAGCUUAUGAUGAGCAGUGUGGAGUUAGGGAGUUCCAGGGUUGGGGCAGUGGUCUAAUACUGAUAAGAAAAACCCUGGGUCAUUCCAUUGUUCUGCUCUGCCAUCUUAAGGGUUUAAGAUCUUUCUCCUCAUGGCUGAGAGAUGGCUGCUACAGCUCCGGGUAGCAUAUUGUCACCCUAUAACUUCCCAAGCAGGGGGAUGCUAAGAAAAAGGAAGCUUUCUAAUGUGCCUCUUUUUUGGGAAGAAGAAUCUUUCCAAGAAGGCCUCAGCAGAUACCUCCUUAUGUCUGAUUGGCCUGAGCUGGUUCAUCCCUACACCAGUUCCUGGUAAAAGGGAACAGGCUUACUGUGGUUGCCUGUCCAGGCUUGCCUUGUCUUCUGGGACUGGGUUCUUUGCCGCCUGAGCCAAAUCAGGACUGUUGGCAGGAAGGAAGUGGGAGUGGCUGCUGGUAGGCAACCAACAGUGUCGGCCACAGAUGGCAAAACACACAAACAGGGAUUCUGUGUCUAGUUUGUUUUUUUAAUUUUAAAGAAGGAAAACUAAAAUUGUUGACCACAUUAGCAAGGUAGAGUAAGAAACGGAAUACCGUUCUUAAAUCACAUCAGGUUUCUGCCUUGUUAAAUAGAACAGUACUACUGAAAACCUUAGACCUCGUUUGGAAAGUGUAUUAUGCCAGCAAUUUAAGAUAGCCACUAAAAGAGGAAAGAAGAGGGAUAUAAUUUCCAACCCAGGAGGGAAAGAAGUGGUGGGAGUAGGGAUAAUGUGUCAAUCCAACAAGGCAGGAAAAGGAAAAAGAACUGAAGGAAAACUAGUAGAGAGAAAACAAAGAGUAACAUGAGCCCAGAUGCUUCAGGGUAAAGGGUUACACUCGGGUGUUAAGCGACUACCAGACAAAAUGCAAAUAAGGAGUCGCCUGAAGCCUGGAGAGACUGGUCAGUGGGCACAGGGGCUUAACAGGAACCACCCUGGCCUUGGCCGUACAAGUGGUUCUGUUCUUUAAAUAACUUGUUUAUUCCUUGCGCUAUAUUCUGGCCUGUCCUCAAUUGUUUCUGUCUAGCUUUGCCUUGCUAUCGAGAUACUAUUGUUUUUCCAGACCGCUUCCUGCCUACUGUAGAUCCGUAUAACAAAACCCUGGACCUUGUCCUGCCACAGGACCAACAUACCACGGAGGGACUUAUUUAAGGGCAGGUGGGGUGCAGCGCCGAGACCCCAGGGCUCAGCAUCCCUCCCUUGGAGCCUGUUUCUUAGGGUGCACUGUCGAUCCUCUAGCAAUAAAGACUGAUGGUUUAUUUCUCCCGAGCUUAUUGGAAAGUUAGACAGUGUGUUGCAAUGGAUGAGUUCAGGCAGUCAGUCAUGCAGAGGUCAAGCCAGCAGUUCUCAGAUCAAGGACGUGGGCUCCAGUUCAGUGGGAAGGUGGGCUGUCGGGUCCCUCCCUCCGCAUCUUGACUGAUCCCCCACCCCCACCCCUGGGCAUCUGCUGUUGCCACACCCAGGAGGCAGGCAGUGUGCUGGAUUGCUCGGUGGCCAGGUUCUGGGACACAGGGAGCGCUUUGAUGAUUGUACCCCAGUAAGUGGGAAAAGCCUCUCUGUGAGGAAGGCCGUGAGAGCCUGUGGAGGGAGCCCUGGCCUUGGAGCCGUCAGCCCUGGGAUGGCGUUAAAGCUCCGUCCCUCGCCGCCUGGCUGACCUCGUUCGGCUGUCUUGGGACUUCUAUGAAUACCGAAUGAGAGGCUGUGCCUGUGAAUGUUCAGAAAGCAUCACACAUGUGAGUACUAAUAUGUGGCUUGAUGUCUUUCCUUGAGGCUCUGGGACACAUCCUUAGACCGUGUGUCUGGGUGGAAAGAGCGAGCUUUAUCAGAGUAUUGGGCUGGGAUUUUCUUUCCUUCUCUCCACCCCCUCCAGCUUCAAGCAGCCUCCCUCCCCCCAGCCUCUGCUCCUUAUUUUGACGUUUCUUUUCUCUGCCUGCCAAGAAGAUUGUGUUCAGCUGCGCUGGUUUGAGGCUGUGCUAUCCUGUGCUUCAUUAGGUUAAUGCGAUGGCUCGUCUCCUGGGAAUGGACCAGAGACUGGCCCUAAAACCGCACUCGCCUCCAAAACCCGGUUCCCACUGUUCUCCUUUGGGGCUGGCUUUGCUGCUCAGUUCCGUAUGCCUGCUUUUCCUUUCUUCCACCUGCAAGCUGGCCAGGGCCUCCCUUGGCUUCCCUUGGGUCUUUGUAUUGGUGUAGUUGUUCAGGCUUGCAUCCCCUGCUGGGUAGAAGGCUCUAGGGGAGACCAGCCGUUCCUCAAGGUUGCCCCUGACCUUCUGGAUUCUGGUCACCAGUUCCUCUGUUCAGCCUCAGCAUCUUGAGCCUUUCGGGGCAUUUAUCAUUAAACUGUAUCACCAGAUUUGCUAACUUUGCGACCACAGCCCUCUUGGAUGAGCCUAGCAUUGCCUUGCCUCCCACCAAAUCCCCAUUCCUCUCCUCUCUCAGAGGAUUGCUUCUCAUCUAUCUCUGUAAAUCUCC